rnacentral:tRNA from 1 species
GCGCCCAUAGCUCAGUUGGUAGAGCACCUGCCUUUUAAGCAGAGGGUCGCAGGUUCGAUUCCUGCUGGGCGCA